rnacentral:lncRNA from 13 species
GGUGGCCAAUGGAGUAUCUGGUCAAUAUAAUGGAUAAUCUGUGAUUAUGUACCUUCAUCGAUUUCCGGCUACUUUCGGUUUACCACUCAAACGCACCCAGUGCCUACAAGUGUGACGUACUGGAUAAGCAGUUCCUGUAUUAUCCUUGCUAUUCGGGAUGCUUGGGACGUCCAAACGCUGACGUUACACCAUUAAAGUUAACAUUUUAAAUGGUUAUGAUACUUCUUUUUACAGAUCAAUGUUAAGAAAUCAUGUCAGUACAAUUUCUGGUAAAGGACACUGAUAAUUUGCUGAUUUCUAAACCCUGUGACGGUUUCGUAUGGCCUGUCUGAUCUUGGCGUGAUAAAGUUCGAUAUUAAACAGCAGCAGGUCAGAGCAGCUGGGAUCAAAUCCUAUUUUCCUACAGCAGCAUCAGUGUGAAAGUACAAGUAUGAGUCAGGCAAGGACAAUGAGUUUGGAAGAGCAAAUCAGGAGCCUCUCACCAGUUGCAGCACAUGCUCUGGCAAUUGCUGAAAUUACAGAUGACAUUGACAUUCAAGAGUUAACAAGAGCAGAUCUGAACGAACUUCUGCCAGGCCUUCAACAUUUAAAACUUAGAAAGAAGAUCAGUGAACUUAUAAAUACAUCUAAACAGGACACAGCUAAACCUAUUGCUUUAGUUCUUAACAAGCUAAGGGAAUUCCUUCCGGUUGAUGUCAUGGAGAAUGCACUUGUUCCCGGGGGAGUGUUACAUGGCUACUUCCCUAUUCUUAGAGAUUUGGAGAAGCAGCUGGCCGAAGCCCUCUACUUCAUUCAGGCACACGUUGGUUUGCUCGAGAGCUACAUUGGAGAAGAGUCCAUGGAGGCUCAGAGCAGUGCUUCAUCUCCAUCAGUUGACUCUGCUACAGCAGGAAACCAACCAUCAAAUGUUGAGGUCCAGAAAACAUCUGUUAAUCGCACCUCAGGAUCAUCAGCCUUAUGUGCCGCUGACAGCCAGCCCAAACAAUGCAGAACAGAAGUGUCUGGUGCGCCGAACAGACCCGCCUUCAAAGAAACUCAAGAUGAGACCUCAAUGUCACACUCUCAUACUUCAGGAGCAGCUGGUGCUGACACCCAUUUUCAAAAAAGUACAACGGGUCCUUCUCAAAUUUCCACUGGAAGUGAGCUGGCCGAGCCACGAUACAAACAAGAGAAAUCAAGGUCUGCAGACCAUCUAGGAGCAGGAGAUAAGAUAUACUCAUAUUGGAGGAAUUUUAGAGCAACUGAACCUCUAAAUGAGAAACAAGCAGUUAAAGUCCAUUCACAAGUCUGUGGAAAAACCCUGAACACUCACCUUGCACUCAUGAAACAAGUGGAUUAUCUGGCAGUAGGACUAAAGCGAGAGGAGACCAGACCAGAAGACUGCCAAGUCAUAAUAGCCUUCUGUCCUAUUACAUCUCGUGUGGGAACAGACAUUGAUGCCGCCAUGAGCAAAGUUCAAAGUAACAAAGAUGUCAUUCUAGUGGUGAUGCACCAUACUUUUGAUCACUGCUUUGUCACAAGCCAGAGAUCUGCAUCUCACUACAUAAACGUAGUGGAGGAAGUUAAUGUUCUCUUCCAUGACUCUAUGGGACUUCUGCGUUGUGAAACAAAUGAUAAAGCAGUGACUCUCAUACACAAGGCCUUACAGAAAUACAGCAGCACUACUUACAAACGUUAAGUGCCCCCUGGUGGCAACAAAGUAGUGUCUGAAGUUUAACACGCAAACAUGAUUUAAAAACCUCAUUCUACCAUUCAAGGCGCUGGUAAUUCAUUCUAGUUCAGAAUAAAGCAUGUCAAUCUGUGUAGUCAACCAAAUGAAUGACUGUUGAUACUCAAGCAGGACUAAAUUAGAUGUCUCAUUGUAGAACAGCUGGUGUAAGGGAAUCUUUGCAGUGGCUGACCUCCAAGCAUGCCCUCCUAACACUACCAAUCAUGUGGGAUGCCUCGUGUGAAUUUCAGCUUUUCCUUCUUUUAGUAUUAGAAGCACUUUAUGCUGUUGGAUGUACUUUUAACAAAUGCUUGUCUAUGUCACUACUCAAUCAUAAGAGAUUGAAAAUGUGUAACUACAGUAUCAUUAAAUGCUAUUUAUUUUGCUUACAGAUGUCCUAAUCUAUGAAAAUAAUUCAGUACAAGUAAGAAAGUGUUACAUCAAAUAUUGAAUAAUAUUGAUAAGAAUUGACAUUGAUCUGUUUUUCCCCAAACUCUUGUGAUAAACAGUAUAUUCAGAUCUCUAGACUUUUUCCACAUUGUUACAUUACAGCCUUAUUCUAAAAUGGAUUAAUCUACACAAUACCCCAUAAUGACAAAGCAAAACAUGUAUUAAAUAACGGAAAUAUCACAUUUACAUAAGUAUUCAGACCCUUUCCUCAGUACUUUGUUGAAUCACCUUUGGCAGCAAUUACAACCGAGUCUUCUUGGGUAUGACGCCACAAGCUUGGCACACCUGUAUUUGGGGAUGGUGAAUGUUGCGGCACAGCUAUUUUCAGGUCUUUCCAGAGAUGUUAGAUCGGAUUCAAGUCCGGGCUCUGGCUGGGCCACACAGGACAUUCAGAGACUUGUCCCAAAGCCACUCAUGUGUUGUCUUGGCUGUGCUCUUAAGAGUUGUUGUCCUGUUGGAAGGUAAACCUUUGCCACAGUCAGGCCCUGAGCGCUCUGGAGCAGGUUUUCAUCAAGGAUCUCUCUGUACUUUGCUCUGUUCAUCUUUCCCUCGAUCCCGACUAGUCUCCCAGUCCCUGCCACUGAAAAACAUCCCCACAUCAUGAUGCUGCCACCACCAUGCUUCACUUUAGGGAUGGUGCCAGGUUUCCUCCAGAUGUGAUGCUUAGCAUUCAGGCCAAAGUGUUCACUCUUGGUUUCUACAGACCAGAGAAUCUUGUUUCUUAUGGUCUGAGUCCUUUAGGUGCCUUUUGGCAAACCUCAAGCAGGCUCUCAUGUGGGCUGCCUUUUACUGAGGAGUGGCUUCCACCUGGCCACUCUACCAUAAAGGCCUGAUUGGUGGAGUGCUGCAGAGAUGGUUGUCCUUCUGGAAGGUUUUCCAUCUCCACACACCUCCCUGACCAAGGCCCUUCUCCCCUGAUUGCUCAGUUUGGCCGGGCGGCUCUAGGGUCUUGGUGGUUCCAAACGUCUUCCAUUUAUGAGUGUUGGAGACCACUGUGUUCUUGGGGACCGUCAGUGCUGCAGACAUUUUUUCCGAUACCCUUCCCCAGAUCUGUGCCGACACAAUUCUGCCUCGGAGCUCUACAGAGAAUUCGUUUGACCUCAUGGCUUGGCUUUUUGACAUGUGCUGUCAACUGUGGGACCUUUUUAUAUAGACAGGUGUAUGCCUUUCCAAAUCAUGUCCAAUCAGUUACAUUUACCACAGGUGGACUCCAAUCAAGUUGUAGAAACAUCAAGGAUGAUCAAUGGAAACAGGAUGCACCAGAGCUGAAUUUCAAGUCUCACGGCAAUGAGUCUGAAUACUUAUGUCAAUAAGGUGUUUUUUAUUUUUAAUACAUUUGCAAAAAAUUCAACAACCUGUUUUCGCUUUGUCAUUAUGGGAUAUUUUGUGCAGAUUUUGAAAUGUUUUAUUUAAUCCAUUUUAAAAAGUCAAGUGGAUGAAUACUUUCCCAAUGCAUCAUUCAUUCGUGUUUCAUGAGGAAUUUGUCUCUGUAGAUGGACUUAAAGCUAAAUAAAAUGUAAGUUGCUCAAAUGCUUUUUUAUGAAAAUAAGAACUAAGUGUUGAAUCAAAUAUUUAAUCACAACCCUUGUAUUAAGAAUGCCAUUGAUUAGAAAAUGUAAAAACCAUGUUUUUCAAACUUCUGAUAUCAAUAUAAAGAGAAAGCGUUAUUUAUUUCUAAAUAUCCUAGAAAAACUAUAGGCACAUUUGCAUUUAUUCACACUAAGUGAUUUAGGAUCACUUUCAUCUUGCCUCAACUGUCUUUCCACCACAAAGUAAAUGACAAAACAGUAGUUAGUGUUUUCUAAACUGAUACAAACCCUGCAGUUGUCACCCCCCCCCCCGACGAUAAAGGAAGACCUACUCAACAUGUCUCAGGCCCACCAGGACACACGAACAACACUGGUGCUAAAACACUCCAUUUUUGUGCUACAGGUCCAGAGUAAAGUAGAUCAGUCAAUGAGAACACAUGUUCUUAUUUCCUCUGCCACUCAAACCAUCUUCCAUGAUCCAUCCAUCAACCACAUCCAACUCUCAGAAACAACUGAUGUCUUGACAGUGCCAUCUCAUUGAUAAAUCUACUAUGAUAUUUCAGGUGGCCCCGAAAUGUAAUGCGUUUUUUAUAAGGACAGGCUAAAUAGGAGAUUGUCCUCAAAUCUUCUCCCUCAACAGGAAUUGGUCUGUACCCUGGUAACGUGUGUGCACUAUGCAUAAGUGUGACUUAAACUCCCUUUCACACAUCUAUGCAUUUGUUUUGUCCUCAUAAGACACUAGCACUACUUCCACAUUCUGGAAAAUAUAGGUGAUCAACAGUAAGUAGGUCACUGUUCUUCAAUACAUUACCUUGUGUUUUAUGCCCAUUAG